CUGAGCAGCUCAAGGUCUCUGGUGA
rnacentral:piRNA from 1 species